rnacentral:rRNA from 1 species
ACGCUGGCGGCAGGCCUAACACAUGCAAGUCGAGCGGAAACGACAACAUCGAAUCUUCGGAGGAUUUAAUGGGCGUCGAGCGGCGGACGGGUGAGUAAUGCCUAGGAAAUUGCCUUGAUGUGGGGGAUAACCAUUGGAAACGAUGGCUAAUACCGCAUAAUGCCUACGGGCCAAAGAGGGGGAUCUUCGGACCUCUCGCGUCAAGAUAUGCCUAGGUGGGAUUAGCUAGUUGGUGAGGUAAUGGCUCACCAAGGCGACGAUCCCUAGCUGGUCUGAGAGGAUGAUCAGCCACACUGGAACUGAGACACGGUCCAGACUCCUACGGGAGGCAGCAGUGGGGAAUAUUGCACAAUGGGCGAAAGCCUGAUGCAGCCAUGCCGCGUGUAUGAAGAAGGCCUUCGGGUUGUAAAGUACUUUCAGUUGUGAGGAAGGGUGUGUAGUUAAUAGCUGCGCAUCUUGACGUUAGCAACAGAAGAAGCACCGGCUAACUCCGUGCCAGCAGCCGCGGUAAUACGGAGGGUGCGAGCGUUAAUCGGAAUUACUGGGCGUAAAGCGCAUGCAGGUGGUUCAUUAAGUCAGAUGUGAAAGCCCGGGGCUCAACCUCGGAACUGCAUUUGAAACUGGUGAACUAGAGUGCUGUAGAGGGGGGUAGAAUUUCAGGUGUAGCGGUGAAAUGCGUAGAGAUCUGAAGGAAUACCAGUGGCGAAGGCGGCCCCCUGGACA